rnacentral:lncRNA from 1 species
CAGCUGACAGGAGGCACUGGAGGGCGACUGAGAGGUAUGAAAGAAUGCUACAAAGUUCCAAGGGACAUGGGCUCACAAUAACUCAAAACACUUCAAGCCUGAUAGAUUUUAAACACACCCUGAUACUUCGAGUCUCAACAGGACUGCUCAUUCAUAACGGCGAGUGCGUUUUAAUUGCUGAACAGCAGGAGAAUGACUUUGGGUCUUUCGGGUGCGCAGACUGGAAAUCCCAGGAUGCCUCACUAUCAGAACUGAGGAAGAGCGGCAUCAGACCCCUGGCCCCGGAUCGAGACUUUCACUCCUCCGAAAUGAGAUAAAUUGUUUUCCAGAACUUAAUAAACAUUUAAUAAAGUUUGGCUUCCCA